UGCCAGCAGUCGCGGUUAAACCAAGAAAUUUAGUCAUUCUUCACGGUAAAAAGACAGUUAGGCAGGAGAGUAGAGCCAUCAGACCGCCAGUAGAGGAGUAAAAUCUAGAUACUGGCAGUUAUACCGAAGAUGGUUUGUUUAAGAAGCUGAGGCUGUGAAAUCUUUAAGGGAAACUGGGAUUGGAUACCCCACUAUUUUUAGUUAUAAAUUUACUGUUAAUAUACCAGAGUACUACGAAUAAAAAGUUUAAAACUCAAAGGGCUUGGCGGUGUUUUAGACCUCUCAGGGGAACCUGUCUCAUAAUCGACAAUCCGCGUUAAACCUAACCUUUUAUAGUAGUUCAGCCUGUAUACCGUCGUCGUCAGGUAACUUCUUAAAAUAUAGUAGUUAGCUAGAAAAUUUCAUUAGUUAAAACGUCAGAUCAAGGUGCAGCUUAUGAAAAGGGGAGGAUGGGUUACAAUUAUAAAUUUAUAAUUACGAAAAGAGCUUGAAAUAAAGUGACUUGAAGGAGGACUUGAAAGUAAUUUUAAUUACAUAAAUAAAAUGAAUUUGGCUCUGAAACGUGCACACAUCGCCCGUCACUCU
rnacentral:rRNA from 1 species